rnacentral:rRNA from 1 species
CACCCGCGCCACAAGUGGCAAUCACUUUUAUUGGGUCUAAAGCGUCCGUAGCCGGUUUGAUAAGUCUCUUGUGAAAUUGUUGCGCUUAACGUAUGGGCUGCCGGGAAUACUGCAUAACUAGGAAGUGGGAGAGGUAGACGGUACUCGGUAGGAAGGGGUAAAAUCCUUUGAUCUAUUGAUGACCACCUGUGGCGAAGGCGGUCUACCAGAACACGUUCGACGGUGAGGGAUGAAAGCUGGGGGGAGCAAACCGGAUUAGAUACCCUAGUAGU